UAGCUAGUCCAGACCUGGCUCACAGUAUUAGUUCUCAAUAUCGCGUUAAUUUGGAUUUUUUAAAUAAUAGCCAUUUGAAAUGUCGUUUACUAGCUUUUGUAUAAAUUGAGAAUGCGAAUAAACUGACUAUUCCAGAAUUUCACUUUCACCUUUAUUUUGAAAUUGGGCCUUAAGUUCUCUUACCGUAAUAUUUAGGACACACACAACUCCAAACAUGCACCCCCUGCACUGACUGUGCUUCUAAAACUGGAGGCUGGUUUGAGGAAAUCCUCAUCUGAACCCACCUGUGAUGUCCAGUCCUGAGGCAUAAGGGUCACAGGACAGACCAACCUCUCUGAUAAGGUCUCAGGCAAACCAGAUGUCGAAAUAUUUGCGCAGUGAAAUUUGGCUACCUGUGGUAAGUAAGGAAAAUAUUAACCUGACAGCUUGAACAUGUUGUUCCCGUGAUACCUACCUACAUCCAUCUAGUGUCAAGCAGUUUUCCUUUUCUCAUUCUUCCUAAUCACCUCCUGGGCUCUAUAGGCGUAUUUUCUCUAGAGUUUUUGUUUUUUCAGGGAGCAGGUCAAGUUCCUGAUAAAUACCCCAAACUUUGAAAACGCCACCUACUGACCAAUCAUUUCUCAGGAAAGAUGGCGUUAGCAGAUAAUCCUGAGGACCGCUGUGUGGAGAUGGUAAGAAGGUAUCUCUUUUUAACAAACUGUCUAAAACUGACGAUUUGCGUGAUUAGUAGAGAAAAUUCAGAUUCAGAAGAGAGAAAUUUUUCCUUUAUUUAGGUCUAAGUAAAAUACUAUUUUUAAAGUAGUUUAAUUUGCUCUAGACCAUUAAAAAAUAAUAAAAGAGCACAAGAGACUUCCUCCCGUGCCUAAGUGAAAUAACAGUGUCACUGAUUAGGCAUUUACCCCAUUUAGACAUUGCUAUCUCUGUUUCUGGGGUGGGCUGCAGCACCUCUGUUUCAGAAAGUUUAUUGUUAAAGUCAUAUUUACUUGUUAUUCCCAGUAAAUAUGCAGCUCUGGAUCUGUCCCCGUUUGACAGUCAUCCUCGAUUGGGAAAAACCUGUUGUUACGUCCCCUGGCUAGUCUAGGGGGUUGAAGGGACGAACAUAAAGGUGGAUAGAGAAGGAGGAGCCAAGAUGGUUUCAGAGACUCUGGAAGGAAGAAGUGGCAAAGAGAGGCCCGGAGAAGGCCUCGCUAGUUUGUGUGGCCCUGCGCUUUCUGAGAACCAGGCUGAUUCGGUCGACUGCUGUUUCCGUCUUUGUGGCAUUGUCAUUAUUUCUCGGGCCUACUGUUUUGGUUUAUCACAUUUUAAACUGUAUUGGAGACCCAGGACAGUCUGGACUUUUGAGUUGUGUUGGUUUGGCCUUCGCUCUGUGUUUCACAGAGUUAAGCAAAGUAUGGCUAGCCGCCCUGCAGUGUGCAAUAAACCUGCGUUCAGCAGUCAGACUGAAAGGAGCAUUCUCAUCAGUUGGUUUUCAGAAGGUCAUGUCUCUGCAGAUACAAAGGACCAUUUCAAACGGAGAGAUAGUUAACAUUUUGACCAAUGAUUGCCACAGAGUUUUUGAGGCAGUAACGUUUGGGUGCUUAGCGCUAUCUGUUCCUGUUGUCUAUCUUGUGUGCGCUAGCUACGCCUGCUAUAUUCUUGGCUACACAGCACUGAUUGGAGUCUUUAUUGAAGUUUUCAUCAUGUUUUCACAGGCUAAUUCUAAAAUUGAUGCCAGCCACAUGUUCCAAAAGACUGGGAAAAAAGCUGUGUAAUGCUGCAAACUGGGGAUUAGCAGCAAUACCACAAUCGAGGGGGGCCCUUCUGUAGGUGUGACCCUAGUCUGCAUGGUCCUGGUCUGGCUGUGGCUCAGAUACAUGUCUAUUGUUUAUGGAUCAUUGCUAAUUUUCUGGUGUGCUCAUGAAAAAAAAGAAGUUGAAGGCUGUAGCGAUAAAAGAUGGCAGAAUUCGGUGAAUGGGUGAGAUUCUCAACAACAUUAAACUUAUCAAGAUGUACGCCUGGGAAGACUGUUUUGAGAAGAAGAUUAAGGGUAAGUUAAGUAGCUGUAUGUUGGCCAACAGAAUUAUGUUAUGUGUAUAUAAAUAAAGAAUUGACACAUGUGUAGUCGUGCUGCCAGAACCUCCACAGAAUAGGGGCGAGACUGCUGUCACACCCACAUAGGAAUGUUCCCCAUUUAGAGCCCCAAAAAACACAUUUAGGCUUUAGUAGUGUUCUUGUCUCACCAAUACAUGCUCUCAGCAUAUAUUUAUUAUUUAUUUUUACCCAUUUUCUAUUUGUCAAUCUCUCUUCAUUAGAAGUUUGAGCAAUCUUCAGUAUUGGAAAUGUUUUGUUUAUGAAAUAACUGGAAAAAUGCACAGAUUUUGAUUUCUGUUGUGUUCUCUUACCAGCCUUGCAUAAGAGGAUUCAGUGUGAUUGUUUUCCCCAUCUUUAAACAUUAUAAGGAACUAUGCCUUUAUUUGUCUGUAAUUUUUAACAUGAAUGUUCAACUCUAGCAGAAUUGGUCAGAGCAAAAAAUAUUAUUGAAGGUAAAGAGAACUGGCAAACUUUUUCUCUCACAGGAUUUAGAAAAAAGAAAAAGGAACAACUAAAGUUGGUGGGUUACAUCCAGGCUACUAAUUGUACCACUACCCUAAUCUCUGCCACCUUUGCCACCGUUCUGACCCUCUUUAUACACACUGUGAUAGGCUUGCCACUUUGUGCAGCUAGUGCCUUUACCACUUUUGCCAUCUUCAACUUCAUGAGUUACUGCAUUGCUCUUAUGUUUAUGUCUGUGAAGUGGAUAAUUGAAGCUGGAGUGUCACUAAAAUGAUUAAGGGUAGAUAUACUGUAAAGGCUUGCUUUUCCUCCUCCCAGAGGGAGGGCGUGUGUAUGGGUUCUGUUUGUCAGUUACUUAGCAGUCUAGCAGUUUUAAAUUUAUCGUUUUCAAAUUUUGUGUGAUGUUAGAUCUUAAUAAGAGCUUAAGCAUAUUUAAUUUUGGUGAUAAUUGGGUCAAGGUUGCUCACACCUACUGUUAAAAUUGGUAAAAACUUUAUAUUACCCAGAAUUUUUUAUGGACUGUCUUCAAAGCUUCAUAAAAAUACACUACACCUUUGGGGACUUGAGUAACUAUAUUGGUUAAACAAUGUUGACUUUGACCUCCCAGAAAUCAUAUGGAGUAAUAUAUAAAAAGUGCACUCUCGCUCACCUUCAACUUUAAUUUAUUCUGCACAUUUUGACUGCUUUGUCCCCCUCCCUGGAUCAAUUGUUCUCACACUUUGUUCAUCAGCAGUCUUCAGAGUCCACUGAAGGUUGUUCCCUAUGAGCAAAGUAUAGUGUGCAUUGGCUUUCAUCAGGAAUUGAAAGAGUCUGCUGAAAGGGAAUUUCAGGUGGCCAGAGCAGGGCUUCUAGGGACUAAUCUAAAAGCAGUCAUACUUGAAGCGGUGCAGCCUUCCCUGAAAAGGCCACCUUCAAGAAAUAUAAACCUGUUUAGGUUUUAGCUUUGCUUUUAUCGGCAGUCUUGGAACUUCUUGGUCACACCUGGUAUAUAAUCUAAAUAAAUCACUGUGCUGUGAUUGUUGAAACUUAAACUUAAUGGUAUUGUUUUAAUCACAAAUUGUGAACCAUUUUGGUAAGUCACUCCACUUCAGAUGCAACAAGAGUGUUUGGGGGGGGGCAUUUCUCACAGUUGUCUUAACUUGUGUCUUUUAGUAUUUGGAGUUCUGUGAUGGCAUCUUGGUUCUGGAGGAUGGUGAGGUUCAGGAGGCUGGAAACCAUCAAGCCCUGAUGAAUGCAAAUGGGUGCUAUGCUCAACUCAUCAGCAAUUACCAGAUGGAAGAGUCUCAAAAGCAGAUGGAAGAUGAAGUGAUGUCCCUGGAUCCUGCCAACUUGAAUGAAUCUGAGCUCAGACCUGGUGAAGAUGUUGGAAUGAUGAACAACGAUCAUUCUUUUGGAUGAAGCCACAGCCUCCACAGAUCCAGAAACAGAUGCUCUGAUCCAAAAGACAGUCAAAGAGGCCUUUCAAGACAGCACUGUGCUCACCUAGCACAUCGCAUCAACACAGUGAUGAAUGCAGAUCGUAUUCUAGUCAUGAACAAUGGACAGGUGGCAGAAUUGGACCACUCAGAUGUCCUGAACCAAAGGCCAGAGUCUCUGUUCUCUUCUCUCCUGGCUGCUUCUAAAACAAUGAAGAGAUGAACUGGUGUGAAGCUGUGAUAUCAAAUAAGCACAGUAAUCCCUGUAAUUUAAUACAUUUACACAACAUAUUUUAAUGUUAAUGAAAAGGCAGUGUAACCUUUUUAUAAUUUUGAUCAGUCACAAACAUAUUGGAGUAUGUCGACCUGUCCCUCACACUUGGCUGCUAUUUAGUUUUCGCUUGUUUGGUUCUCUGUUUUAUUAGGUUUAAGCAGCAAAGCUUUUUUAAGCUUGAUCAUCAAGCUAACCAUUAGGUUCAGGUUUAGGUUAAAAUGUACUUUCACAGUAUAAAACAUCACAGCAUUCCCCAUUAGUAUUCACAUGCACUGUACACAGUUGUCUGAUGUCUCUGAAAUAAUAUUGCUCUGUUUAUUACCAAUAACUACUGAUGAUGCUGCCCUAUUUUAAAUGACAAGAAGGCAGAGGAGGGUACACAAUGGUGAGAAAUGAUGAACAUUCACUUAUCAGUAUUUUAUUAUUUCUCUAUUUAGAUAAGCAGGAUGUGUUUUUGUUUUUCAACCUCGAAGUUUUUAUAAAUAGUGCAUUUUACUUUUUACUUAAAUGCAUGUUAAAUGUUUCAUGGCUUUAAAUAGAAGUGAACACGAGUUUUUUUUAAUGUAAGUUUUAAAUCUAUUGUGUAAGUAGGGACAACUCACUUAAAAAAAAAAAAAACAUGGUGAGGGCUAACCUAAUAGUUACGUAGGUUUUUAGGUUUAAUUUAAAAAUGUAAUUAGUUGAUGUAGUAGCAGACAAGCUCACAAGAACCUUAAAAGAACCUUUUGAUGGGCGUAUAAAAAGUUUUUUUUUCUUAUUUUAAAUAAAUUUCAGCUGUUAACUGGUUAAAAAGUGCCACAAACUGACCCACAUUAAGAGGAUGUGUAGCAGGUGAAACUGCUGUAAACUAGGGGCAAAAUGUUUACUGCCACACAUAUUAAUAGAUGCCUUUUCUUAAAAUUGAAGAGCUUAAAAAUCAUUCAUUUUAAUAGAGGGUUAUUUGGAACUUUGAGUUGUAUGUUGUUGGAAAAUGUAUGAAAAAUGAAAUUAUAAUUAAUAAAAAGUCAUCAAAACUUGUCUUUCAAUUAAGCAGAGGUCAUAUGGUUAUAAAGAAGUAAAACUUCAGUGAAAGAAGCUCGAGUCAAGUGCACUUCAGCUGUCAUGUGGGGUAAGGACACACGAGGGCACUACAGGCUUCUAUACUCGUAUCCUUGAAGGACUGGGUUUCAUUUUUAAUAUGACCGAUCCUCCCUUGGCACAGACACAUGUUCUCAAAGAAAUGCUCUGUGAGGUUACCUUUUACUCACUGAACUUUAAAUAACUCAUCUCUCUGAAGAGAAACUACAAGCCUCUAAAUAUAUAAUAAUGUAUGGUUCAGUUAAACGGUACGAGUCUUUUUACAUCACUUAAUUGUAAAUAUCCACACCUGCUGAACAGAUUAGACUGGGCUUAAUAAUUCAUUGCAAGUUGUUGCAUUAAUAUUGGUUUAAAAAAUAAUUUGGUUUUCCCAAGCUACAUGGGAAAAUAUGCCAUUUUAUUAAAACUAGGAGAGGUUUUCUUUUUCUAAUCAGUGAUUGUAUAGAAUUCUUCUAAAGUUUUCUACAGUCAUUAUUUCUAAUACUACAGGUGUUUAGAUUCAUCUGAAGUCAAUUAUAAUUGUUUAUAAAUAAAAUUUAUACAGCAAAA